AGUAGAGUGGCGCACGGGUGAGUAACACGUGGGUAAUCUGCCCUUAAGUUUGGGAUAACUCGUCGAAAGACGGGCUAAUACCGAAUAAUAUUCGCGAUUGAUAGGAUUGUGAAUCAAAGAUUUAUCGCUUAAGGAUGAGCCCGCGGCCCAUUAGCUUGUUGGUGGGGUAAUGGCCUACCAAGGCUACGAUGGGUAGCUGGUCUGAGAGGAUGAUCAGUCACACUGGAACUGGAACACGGUCCAGACUCCUACGGGAGGCAGCAGUGGGGAAUAUUGCGCAAUGGGGGAAACCCUGACGCAGCGACGCCGCGUGAGUGAGGAAGGUUUUAGGAUCGUAAAGCCCUGUCAAGUGGGAAGAAGAAAGUGACGGUACCACUAAAGGAAGCACCGGCUAACUCCGUGCCAGCAGCCGCGGUAAUACGGAGGGUGCAAGCGUUAUUCGGAUUUAUUGGGCGUAAAGAGAGCGUAGGCGGUUUGUUAAGUCAGAGGUGAAAGCCCCAGGCUCAACCUGGGAAGUGCCUUUGAAACUGGCAGACUUGAGUACGAGAGAGGGUAGCGGAAUUCCAAGUGUAGAGGUGAAAUUCGUAGAUAUUUGGAGGAACACUGGUGGCGAAGGCGGCUACCUGGAUCGAUACUGACGCUGAGGCUCGAAAGCGUGGGGAGCAAACAGGAUUAGAUACCCU
rnacentral:rRNA from 1 species